UACGUAGGGUGCAAGCGUUAUCCGGAAUUAUUGGGCGUAAAGAGCUCGUAGGCGGUUUGUCGCGUCUGCCGUGAAAGUCCGGGGCUUAACUCCGGAUCUGCGGUGGGUACGGGCAGACUUGAGUGAUGUAGGGGAGACUGGAAUUCCUGGUGUAGCGGUGAAAUGCGCAGAUAUCAGGAGGAACACCGAUGGCGAAGGCAGGUCUCUGGGCUGUUACUGACGCUGAGGAGCGAAAGCAUGGGGAGCGAACAGG
rnacentral:rRNA from 1 species